UUUCCGUAGGUGAACCUGCGGAAGGAUCAUUAUUGUAUAACCGAGGUGCGAGGGCUGUCGCUGACCCGAAAGGUCAUGCACGCCCGAGUGCCCUCACACACAUCCAUCUCACCCCUAUGUGCACCACCGCGUGGGUCCCCCUUUGGCUUGUUCGGAGGGGGGCUUACGUUUUCACACAAACUUUGUAUGCAGUGUAGAAUGUAUUUUUGUUUUUGCGAUCACGCAAUCAAUACAACUUUCAACAACGGAUCUCUUGGCUCUC
rnacentral:misc_RNA from 1 species